UUCUGUUUCCUUUGGAUAGUUUGUGGAGGAAAUGUGCUCUCCAUGGCUUCUUCAUGACCACUUAGAGAUGCCCUUUCAUGGAGACUACACUUAUUUUUUGCAUUCAAGAGAAAAUUAUGCUUGUGUUGGAAGGGUUUGAGGAGCAAACACUUGCUCUAUCUGUUAUAUACACACUUACUUGCACAUUUCCUCGCUAAACAUUUCACAUUCUUAUUUGGUAAAUGAUUUAUUCUAAUUUUGCUUAACAAGUUCAGA
rnacentral:misc_RNA from 1 species